GACGAACGCUGGCGGCGUGCUUAACACAUGCAAGUCGAACGGAAAGGCCCUGCUUGCAGGGUGCUCGAGUGGCGAACGGGUGAGUAACACGUGGGUGAUCUGCCCCUUACUUUGGGAUAAGCCUGGGAAACUGGGUCUAAUACUGGAUAGGACCAUGCUGUAGGUGGUGUGGUGGAAAGAUUAGUUUCGGUAAGGGAUGAGCUCGCGGCCUAUCAGCUUGUUGGUGGGGUAAUGGCCUACAAAGGCGUCGACGGGUAGCCGGCCUGAGAGGGUGGACGGCCACAUUGGGACUGAGAUACGGCCCAGACUCCUACGGGAGGCAGCAGUGGGGAAUAUUGCACAAUGGGCGCAAGCCUGAUGCAGCGACGCCGCGUGGGGGAUGACGGCCUUCGGGUUGUAAACUCCUUUCAGCCAUGACGAAGCCCUUGUGGUGACGGUAGUGGUAGAAGAAGCACCGGCUAACUACG
rnacentral:rRNA from 1 species